rnacentral:rRNA from 1 species
UGGGGAAUUUUGGACAAUGGGGGAAACCCUGAUCCAGCCAUCCCGCGUGUGCGAUGAAGGCCUUCGGGUUGUAAAGCACUUUUGGCAGGAAAGAAACGUCGCGGGUUAAUACCCCGCGAAACUGACGGUACCUGCAGAAUAAGCACCGGCUAACUACGUGCCAGCAGCCGCGGUAAUACGUAGGGUGCAAGCGUUAAUCGGAAUUACUGGGCGUAAAGCGUGCGCAGGCGGUUCGGAAAGAAAGAUGUGAAAUCCCAGAGCUUAACUUUGGAACUGCAUUUUUAACUACCGGGCUAGAGUGUGUCAGAGGGAGGUGGAAUUCCGCGUGUAGCAGUGAAAUGCGUAGAUAUGCGGAGGAACACCGAUGGCGAAGGCAGCCUCCUGGGAUAACACUGACGCUCAUGCACGAAAGCGUGGGGAGCAAACAGGAUUAGAUACCCUGGUAGUCCACGCCCUAAACGAUGUCAACUAGCUGUUGGGGCCUUCGGGCCUUGGUAGCGCAGCUAACGCGUGAAGUUGACCGCCUGGGGAGUACGGUCGC